UACGUAGGUGGCAAGCGUUGUCCGGAAUUAUUGGGCGUAAAGCGCGCGCAGGCGGUCCUUUAAGUCUGAUGUGAAAGCCCACGGCUCAACCGUGGAGGGUCAUUGGAAACUGGGGGACUUGAGUACAGAAGAGGAAAGCGGAAUUCCACGUGUAGCGGUGAAAUGCGUAGAGAUGUGGAGGAACACCAGUGGCGAAGGCGGCUUUCUGGUCCGGAACUGACGCUGAGGUGCGAAAGCGUGGGGAGCGAACAGG
rnacentral:rRNA from 1 species